UAUAAUGUCCAACUCUGGUUUGGCCAUAGAGGGAGGCAACAUGUAUCCACACAUGCAGGGCUGUCCUAAAGAUUAUCGCCCUAUAUGUGCUAUGGACGGCAGAACUUUCUCUAACGAAUGUGGUUUAUGUAAUUACCUGUUGGCAACACACCAUCUAUCAACCAACACAUUUGUUACGUAUGCGCUACACGAGGGGCGUUGCACAUCAGCCGAAAUCUUUGGAUAAUCUAAAUACAUUAUUCAUCUUCUGUUAUGUAUGUUAUGCUAACAAAUAAAUAGUCUCUGUGAAAAA